rnacentral:rRNA from 1 species
UACGGAGGGUGCAAGCGUUAUCCGGAAUCACUGGGCGUAAAGGGCGCGUAGGCGGUCUGUUAAGUCUGGCGUUAAAGCCUGGGGGCUCAACCCCAGAUCAGCGUUGGAUACUGGCAGGCUAGACGGCUGGAGAGGCGAGUGGAAUUACCGGUGUAGCGGUGGAAUGCGUAGAUACUGGUAGGAACACCCAUUGCGAAGGCAGCUCGCUGGACAGCACGUGACGCUGAGGCGCGAAAGUGUGGGGAGCAAACCGGAUUAGAUA